rnacentral:pre_miRNA from 1 species
UAGGGUGACCAACCGUCCUGGUUUGCCCGGGACCAAGGUGGUUCCCAGGAAGUGGUACUUUCAGUACGAAAACCAGGAGAGACCUGGGCAAACCAGGACAAGUUGGUCAUCCUAUUUACUU